AAGAAAAAUGGGGCGGAUUGAAAUUGAUAAGACUUCUCCACUGUAGAAGACAACCAACAUAUUGUCAGUUUAAACAUUUAAUUAAGUUCAUUUAUCUCUCAAUUCUAGAAGCCUGGGACUGAACUACAUACCUUACCCUGUAAAGGGCAAAAAUCUGUGAUUUUAGUGAAAGAAAGAAACAAUUGUUGUCCAGAAGUGACCAAAUCGACCUGAGUAAAUGUAGAGUUAAGACCUCUCGACUAGCUGUUAUUGGCCUCUUGGUAGUCCUUACUAACAAAAAACAUGAAGGGUCGGUCUUUAUAUAUGCCCCGGCAGGGCUCGGGAGAGUCUGGGUCGGGUUACAGUGUUAGAUCUUCAGAUAUCAGCCUGGAUGAGGAAAGAGAACAUUUCCGGCGGGACACGGAGCGCCAAGCAUUGUUCCAGCUGGAGAAAGCAAAGACAAAACCAGGAAAAU